GAUUGAUGCUCACAGAAUUUUUAUUGAUUUUUUGCCAAACAUAUUCAGCCAUGAUUUGACAGAGUUGCAUCUUACUCUGCUCUUUCCCCAACAAGUAACCUUAAAUCCAGUAAGUGAACAGCUGGUAAACCAUUUCUCACCUUCCUGUUAAUUAUUUUUAUUAAACUGAAGACUCUUUUUGGCUUUGGCAGCAUGUAUUUCUGAACUUGUUAAUGACAUGAACAACUUCUUUGCUGAAUCACAGAAUAAUUUCCAAAUGCGAGAAAAAUAUUUCCUCCACUUUUUGUGUUAUUCACAAUGGAAUGGCUACAGGUACAAUGCACUGUUAAGUUUAAUCUGUAUUACUAACAUCACUGUGAAGAAUAAUCAACAGAACCAUAAGUCAAGCCUUGAUUUACAGCAUUUGCCAAUUGCAAUGGUGUAAAUAUUCACACCGUGGCCCAUUUCCAGCUAUCAACCUGACGGUGUCGAGCUCAGAGUCAGGAAGAGACACGCACGAGCAAACCAUCACGUGGUGGCCUCCCUCCACACAGACACAGUGGACAUACAUAACAUCCAAAUUAUAGAAAAUAGUGAUAUGGGCCAGGCACGGUGGCUCAUGCCUAUAAUCCCAACACUUCGGGAGGCCAGGGCAGGCAGAUCACUUGAGGUCAGGAGUUUAAGACCAGCCUGACCAACAUGGUGAAACCCCGUCUCUGCUAAAAAUACAGAAAAAUUAGCCGGGCAUGGUGGUGCACGCCUGUAAUCCCAGCUAUUCAGGAAGCUGAGGUAGGAGAAUCGUUUGAACUCAGGAGGUGGAGGUUGCAGUGAGCCGAGAUCAUGCCAUUGCACUCCAGCCUGGGAAACAGAGACUCCAUCUCAAAAAAAAAAAAAAAAAAAAAAAAGUGGUAUGAUUAGGAAGUCAUGAAUUUAGAGUACUUAUUACCUUUGUCUUAUUAUUUGAUUGUACAUUUGCCUAAUUUUAAAAUGAUGGCUGUGAUUAACACCUGGCUUGUAAAAUUCCUGAAAUUGUACCCAUCAGUCUGGCCAGCCUGGACAAGCCAGCUCUAGCAGUCAGAGAAGACAGGGCCCGGCCUAUGCUGAGUGACUGGAUGCCUUGGAGUUAGUGAUUCCGGAAGGAAAAGGCAGGCCAGUGCAGAGCCAGCAGCCAGGGCUAAGCCAAAGGGCAAAAUGUUCCCGGCUUGAACAGGGUGACCACACAGCCUACCCACAGACUGGCCAGGGCAGUCCUGGUUAUGCUUGGUGUCCCCCAGCCCCUUUUAGUUUCAAAAGCAUCUGUUUAGGAUGGACAUUACAUACUUUCCCUGUGACACUUGCAGAGCUAUGGCCCUCUGGGUCCCUAGAACUGGCUGAAGAGGGAGUGGGCCGGGCUGGUGAGCAGAGGCCAGGUUGGGAGGGCAGGGGUGAGUGCAGAUGGAGGAGGCCAGGCUGGGAGGGCAGGGGUGAGUGCAGAUGGAAGAGGCCGAGCUGGGAGGGGAUGGGUGGGUGGAGAUGGAAGAGGCCGAGCUGAGAGGGGAUGGGUGGGUGGAGAUGGAAGAGGGGAUGGGUGGGUGGAGAUGGAAGAGGCCGAGCUGAGAGGGGAUGGGUGGGUGGAGAUGGAAGAGGCCGAGCUGAGAGGGGAUGGGUGGGUGCAGAUGGACGAGGCCGAGCUGAAGGCAGGGGUGGGUGGAGAUGGAGGAAGCCAAGGGAAGGAAAAGGUGGUGACAAGAGUGGCAGGCACUUUCUGGGAAGCUGGAAUAAGGGAAGGCACUGGGAGCCAUCCGCUGGUGCCAGGGAGAGUUCCAUUACAAGGAGCAGCUGAACUCAGCUGUCUCCAGAGCCAGGGGCUAGGUGGGCAGCUUCUCCAGAGGAACAAGGGUGCCCCCCGUCCCUGAUCAACUAGGGUGUCUGUCAUUCAUUGUUGGCCUUACAAAGCUGGUGAGGGAACAAGAAAAAAAAUGCACACGAAGUUCAAGUGCUUCACACCUAGCUUUCCAACACAUAGGAGGAGACGGCAGGAGGGGUCAGAAUCCCCGAACUGUGGGAGGCCUGGGACUCCUAGGUCUCAGCUGGAGCCCCCCAGAUAAAAGCCCCCUCGGAGACUGGCAGGGGCGGGGUGGGGUUGUUCCAGCAGCCAGUUCCCAUCACUCUCCCACUCAGCCAGCAGCCUCCUGAAGGCCCAAAUCCCGAAUCUUUCCUGGCCUUCUUUUCCCCCCAGUGGGGACAGGGCAUAGCUGGCCCGUCUCCUGGAGGACAGAGCCAGGAGCAGGCCAGCAGGCCCUUCACUUCCUCUGCUGCCAACGUGCGAACACACCCGUGUGUGGUGUCCAAAGCCAAGCCACUCUCUGGCAAACCAGCCAAAGACAGAAGAUCCCCAAACCCAAAUGUUCUGAAAUCUUUUCCAGGCUUUCAAACCUUGGCUAAACAAGGCAAAGGAGCUAGGGAACAGUCUUUGGCCUUGAAAGAUGAGAAGGUCGAGGGCUCUCCAGGACACAGGGCAGAUGCCUUUGAUGGCAGCAUUUUAUAAAGAGAGAAACAGAACACAGCUAAGUGCUGCUCUGAAGACCCUCUCUUUGAAUAUCAGUAUUAGGUUAUUUCAUCUCCACAUGGAGCCUGUGGAGUAGGUUCUACUGCAGGAAACUGAGGCACGGAGCAGGUAGAUACCAUCCAGAUCCCAUAGCUGAUGAAUGUCAGAGCUGCGACAUGGACCCAGGCUGCCUCGCUCUCAGCUGCGACGCUGAGCCGACCCCUGCACAGGGGCCUUGUUCUCGGUCCUUUCCUGCCACUGUGGGAACUGGGAGCCUGGGAGUUACAUCGUAUGUGACAUCAGAGCCAGAGCUGGCACAGGGUCACAGGGCACAGGGUCACAGGGCCUGCAGCUUAGAUGCUUUGAGGGACACUUCUUAAGGUCAAGACUAUAAAACUGUGACUGUGAAGAGCUCAGGCUUCAAAGCAGCCCAGGCCAGCCAGGGAGGCUGAGCUGGAGGCUUCUCUAGCCUCGUGGGAGAUGGGCCCUGCCCCAGGGGACCUCCCCGAUGAUCUAUGCCAGGGCUUCCCGGAGCCCCUUCUCCUCCAGGCAAGAGAAGCCAUGUCCCGAAAGCCCCGCAGGAGGGGUCUGAGGGGAAAUCCAGAAGCAGCCCAGCCUCUCGUCACGCACCACUGAGGCCGACACCCGGGUGGGGCCCAGAUGCCGAGUGAUUCAGGGGAGGCCUUGGCAGCCUGCCUGCCCCCAGACACUCGAGUAACCAGGGCAAGAUGUGGAAAACCCCCUGACCAGACCCGAAACCAGUGGGAGCGUUCAAGUUUAACCCACCCAGGGUCGGGAACGUGGCCUGAAGCCAAAGUAGAAGCCCUGGAGGAGAAAAGGGCCCAUUUCUUUCCUGGGCACCGCCAAUGGCUUUUCCUUUUUAAGAGGCACAGACAGGGUCACAGAUGGCCCCAGGCAGAUGCCUUGGUAUGGAGGGACCAGUCCACUGCAGGCCCUAUCUUGGGUUUCGAAGAUUCAAACACCACCAGCACCACCGACUAGAAUGUUCUGUGCCAUGGAAGGCCCUCAUUGGCCACAUCCCUCUUGCUUCCUGAACAACGGCUGGGCAAGGCUGAGGUCUGCGGGGCAGGAUGGCCUCUGCAGAGGAAGGCAUCAGGGCCCAAGUGAGGGAAGCCUGGGUCCUGGGUCCAGAGGCCCGGUGUGGCAUGGCAAAGGCCAGGUGGGGUGAGGAAAGCUACUGGGCAGCAGGGGGCCUGGUGCUGAGUGUCAGAGCCGGGGGCAAUGGGGGGAAGGCAGCGUCCCCAGGGAGGAGGCAGCGCCCCCAGGGAGGAGGCAGCAUGGGAUGAGGCCAGUCACAGACGAAGGGAGGGACCCAGCAUGUCCAGAAGAACAAAUGAGCUCACCAGGGCGCAGCUGCUCACACCUGUCAUCCCAGCACUUUGGAAGGCUGAGACGGGAGGACCGCUUGAACUCAGAAGUUCCAGACCAGUCUGGCCAAAAUGGAGAAACCCUGUCUUC
rnacentral:lncRNA from 1 species